GCAUGAGUGCCAGAUUUAAUGGGCUAGUUUUAAGCGCUGGUUAUAAAGUUUUACUUUUUUGUGUU
rnacentral:tRNA from 1 species